UCUUAAAAGAUGCAAGGGACACAGAUAUGGAAGAUAAGCGAGGAAGGGGAAAGACUCGUAUCGAAAGAUAUAGUGAAAAAUAAGUAACGAAUUAUCAAGAAGUAGCUGGCGAGAAAAGCUUGUAGAAAUUGUAUAGAGGUGCCCGUACCGCAAACCGACACAGGUAGAUGAGGAGAGGAUCCUAAGAUGAGCGAGAGAAGCAUUGUUAAGGAACUCGGCAAAUUGACCCCGUAACUUAGGGAGAAGGGGUACCAUAGUAAAAUAUGGUCGCAGAGAAGAGGCCCAAGCAACUGUUUAACAAAAACACAGGUUUCUGCUAAAUCGAAAGAUGAAGUAUAGGAGCUGACGCCUGCCCAGUGCUGGAAGGUUAAGGGGAAAUGUAAGAGUAAUCGAAGCAUAGAACCAAAGCCCCAGUGAACGGCGGCCGUAACUAUAACGGUCCUAAGGUAGCGAAAUUCCUUGUCAGGUAAGUUCUGACCCGCACGAAAGGCGUAAUGAUUUGGGCGCUGUCUCGACAAUGUACUCGGCGAAAUUGUAGUACUAGUGAAGAUGCUAGUUACCCGCGACAAGACAGAAAGACCCCAUGGAGCUUUACUGUAGCUUGAUACUGGGUUUUGAUAAUUUAUGUACAGGAUAGGUGGGAGACUGAGAAGUAAGUGCGCCAGCGCUUAUGGAGUCAAUGUUGGGAUACCACCCUUAAAUUAUUGAAAUUCUAACCUGUGGUCGUAAACCGGCCAGGGGACAAUGUCAGGCGGGCAGUUUGACUGGGGCGGUCGCCUCCAAAAGAGUAACGGAGGCGCGCAAAGGUUUCCUCAGCGCGGACAGAAAUCGCGCGAAAGAGUGCAAAGGCAGAAGGAAGCUUAACUGAGAGACUGACAAGUCGACCAGAUACGAAAGUAGGUCUUAGUGAUCCGGCGGUAGUGAGUGGAAAUGCCGUCGCUCAACGGACAAAAGUUACCCUGGGGAUAACAGGCUUAUCUCCCCCAAGAGUUCACAUCGACGGGGAGGUUUGGCACCUCGAUGUCGGCUCAUCACAUCCUGGAGCGGAAGUACGUUCCAAGGGUUGGGCUGUUCGCCCAUUAAAGUGGUACGCGAGCUGGGUUCAGAACGUCGUGAGACAGUUCGGUCCUUAUCUGUCGUAGGCGCAGGAUAUUUGAGGGGAGUUGACCUUAGUACGAGAGGACCAGGUUGAACUUACCAAUGGUGCAUCAGUUGUCACACCAGUGGCACAGCUGAGUAGCUAAGUAGGGAAGGGAUAAACGCUGAAAGCAUCUAAGUGUGAAGCCCACCCCAAGAUAAGAUAUCCCAUACCGUAAGGUAGUAAGAUUCCACGUAGACUAUGUGGUUGAUAGGUUGGAGGUGUAAGUGCAGUAAUGUAUUAAGCUGACCAAUACUAAUAAAUCGAGGGCUUAACC
rnacentral:rRNA from 1 species